rnacentral:rRNA from 1 species
GAUGAACGCUGGCGGCGUGCCUAAUACAUGCAAGUCGAGCGAACGGACGAGAAGCUUGCUUUUCUGAUGUUAGCGGCGGACGGGUGAGUAACACGUGGAUACCCUACCUAUAAGACUGGGAUAACUUCGGGAAACCGGAGCUAAUACCGGAUAAUAUUUUGAACCGCAUGGUUCAAAAGUGAAAGACGGUCUUGCUGUCACUUAUAGAUGGAUCCGCGCUGCAUUAGCUAGUUGGUAAGGUAACGGCUUACCAAGGCAACGAUGCAUAGCCGACCUGAGAGGGUGAUCGGCCGCACUGGAACUGAGACACGGUCCAGACUCCUACGGGAGGCAGCAGUAGGGAAUCUUCCGCAAUGGGCGAAAGCCUGACGGAGCAACGCCGCGUGAGUGAUGAAGGUCUUCGGAUCGUAAAACUCUGUUAUUAGGGAAGAACAUAUGUGUAAGUAACUGUGCACAUCUUGACGGUACCUAAUCAGAAAGCCACGGCUAACUACGUG